rnacentral:rRNA from 1 species
GACGAACGCUGGCGGCGUGCUUAACACAUGCAAGUCGAACGGUAAGGCCCUUCGGGGUACACGAGUGGCGAACGGGUGAGUAACACGUGGGUGAUCUGCCCUGCACUUCGGGAUAAGCCUGGGAAACUGGGUCUGAUACCGGAUAGGACCACUGCCUGCAUGGGUGGUGGUGGAAAGCUUUUGCGGUGUGGGAUGGGCCCGCGGCCUAUCAGCUUGUUGGUGGGAUGAUGGCCUACCAAGGCGACGACGGGUAGCCGGCCUGAGAGGGUGACCGGCCACACUGGGACUGAGAUACGGCCCAGACUCCUACGGGGGGCAGCAGUGGGGAAUAUUGCACAAUGGGCGCAAGCCUGAUGCAGCGACGCCGCGUGAGGGAUGACGGCCUUCGGGUUGUAAACCUCUUUCAGCACCGACGAAGCGCAAGUGACGGUAGGUGCAGAAGAAGGACCGGCCAACUACGUGCCAGCCGCCGCGGUAA